rnacentral:lncRNA from 1 species
GGGUCUAGCUGGUAUCCCUUGGGGGACUGUGGGUCUGCGUAUGCCGAAAAGCCGCAAAAGUAAAGGCUUUCUUAAGAUUAUGGGUCUCAAGAAAAAUCCCAACAUAGCUUGUCUGAAAAACUCCUACAUACCGUUUGAUUUUAUGUACGAGAGGUAUGGCCAUAGCAAUCCUAUCGCGCCUACACUAACGAGUUCACCCUCAUCCUUUUAGGGCAUAUACAUAGAAGGGUCUUUGUGUUCAUGUUCUGUUUCCUGGGUAUGACGGUAUUUAACAUGAAAAAGUCUAGGAUCUACACCAGACUUGCCAUGGUAACCAAAACCUUAAUGGAAGGGAUAGAUGGGCAGUCUUUUAGCAUAGUGCCUAUGAUCGUCGUUGAAAUCUAUCAAGCCUUAGGAAAAUGUCAACAAGGGGCCCCGCACUUCGAGGGUUGUAAUUUGCUACUUCAGCUCUGGCUUGUAGAACACCUUUAGAAGGGUGACUACCGACAGGAGAUUAUACGCAUGGAUUGGGGAUCAUAUCACUUUCCACCACCCCAAGCGAAUGAACUUCACGCCCAACAUGUUCGCCCAGCCGGAAGACACUGGAGGAUGGGUAGAUCUGUUUGAAAAUCUAAUGGAAGAGCAAG